UCACUCAUUCACUCACUCGCCCACCCAUGUACUCACUCACUCACUCAACCACUAACUCACUCAAUUCAAAGCAUACUUACAGUGCAGUCUUACCAACGGCCGGCCAUUAGCCAUUGGUUGGUAAUCCUGCGACGGUGUAAACAAGCCAAACGCCAAUUUUUAAAAUCUUCCUUCAGAAAUUUGGCGUAGUUGAAAACAACACGAACAAUAAGUAUGAAAAAACAGACUGACAGUCCUUCCAUGGAGAUCUUAAACAAUCCCUCUUUAUCCCCAAUACGUGAAGUUUUCUCUCUUUUCCUGGAGUCUUCACCCUCUGCCAUCUCAUCUUUGGCUGACAUCAACAUCUCGGUUCUUGCAUCUGCUUCAAUUGAUAACACAGACAAGAGAAAGGUCAUCUGGUGUGCUUAAAGCAACCACUUCACAUCCUGUUGUCUGAUACUGCAGUUCCUGUACCUUCAAAAUAAACAAGGUAGUUCCAGUCUUCAGAGACAGUGAAGGCAGUCCAUCAUUGCAAAAAAAAAUCAGCAUUUGGCUACCACUUAAGGUCACCAGAGGCAGCACUUCAAUGCAGUAACUACAUGAUGCAAAUGCAGGUCUUCCCACUGUCCAUGGUAGCAGUUCACGGCAAGAGAUACACAAAGAAACAACUGAAGAAUAAAUAUUUAAAAGAAAAUGUGAGGAUACUCUAUGAUGAUGCAAGAUUUAUAAUAGAAGUUCACAAAUUUGAA